GAUGUUCGGGGAGCCCUUUGCGGCAUGGAGAUGGCUGGCGGUGGGAGAGCGAGUAUGCGGUCCAUAUUGUUCCAGGCGGUCUGCAAGGGCUGCCUUCUCCCAAGAAAUGUCUGGAAGACACAUUACUGAGGAGUGGCUUUGCCUCAACUGCACGUCUCCCAGCCGCACUCCUGAAAUGUCUGUGCCUGUCCAAAACACAAGAGACUCUUGUUCUUCCAUGCCUCUUCCAGACUGCAACUUUCAACUCUUCAGUGUUAUACAUCAGAAGAAGCUGCAUCCAGAGGUUAAAGCAUCCUUCCACCUAGCAUUCUUCAUAUUUUUCCUCUUUUAUCAAAUGGCUCAAGAAGGUAAUUCAUGUUGUAAUAGAGGUCCAAAUCCUUGA
rnacentral:lncRNA from 1 species